rnacentral:rRNA from 1 species
UAGGGAAUCUUCCACAAUGGACGCAAGUCUGAUGGAGCAACGCCGCGUGAGUGAAGAAGGUUUUCGGACUGUAAAGCUCUGUUGUUGGUGAAGAAGGAUAGAGGUAGUAACUGGCCUUUAUUUGACGGUAAUCAACCAGAAAGUCACGGCUAACUACGUGCCAGCAGCCGCGGUAAUAUGUAGGUGGCAAGCGUUGUCCGGAUUUAUUGGGCGUAAAGCGAGCGCAGGCGGAAGAAUAAGUCUGAUGUGAAAGCCCUCGGCUUAACCGAGGAAUUGCAUCGGAAACUG